CUGGUGUGAUGUGGCUGGAUAAUACAUGGCCUGAGGACUCCUGCAUUGAUGACUGCAGGAUGGGUCCAGAAUUUUCCUAUACAUAAAUUAAAAUACUAAGCAGUCCAGAAGGAGCCAUUAGCAGACAUCACACUUUGCUUACUUUGCUAUCUAUCACUGAGAUCACCAGCCUUUUCAGCCUGGUUAGGAAACAUUGCUGGGGAACUAGUGCAGUGAUUUGGAGCUGUGCUCUCUCUCUCUCAGUGCUCUGAGAGUGUAGGCUCCUUUCCCACUCAAGUGCUGGCUGCAGAUCUGGGUUUGGCACUCCUGGACGUCAUACUACAGCCCCGGGAACUGUCCUGUGGGGUAAAUGAGAAAUCCUAUACAGAGAAGAUGGCACCUAGAGAAAUCCUAUACAGAGAAGAUGGCACCUAGUCUUCAACAAAUAUUCAUCCUGGCCCACUUUUCUUCUCCUUCCCAGAGAAGUGAUGACUGUCAUCUAAACCAAACAGCAUAACUACCACAGAGACCAGCUGGUAAUGGAGCAGGAAGAAGUAGCAUAUACUUACAUUUAGUUUAUAAAUGAAGCUUUGGGGCUAUUUCUGUGAUGCAGGAUGGCUUUGCCAAGGAAUGUGGGAAGAGGGAAAAGAUCAUCAAACCAUUUCUUUAAUUCUGUGUCAUUUUUGCCCCAUUAUUUGAGCUUCUAUACUGAUAUUGGAAAAAUAGUUUCCUAUGGAGUGUCAAAUAAAGAAAGAGUGCAGAUAAAGAGGAGAGAGAAGUCACAUGCCCUUGACCCUCAUACCAUUACCACCUACAGGACUCUGAACCAGAAUUUCAUCUGCACCAGUGGGUAAUUCAAAGUGGGAGGAGUUGUUGAAUGUGUAUCCAUGAAGGCACAAUACUACAAACGUGUAAAACUACUAGGUUUUAAAUCCUAGAAUGUCAUGGUGUAUAAAAUAUUGAUAAUUAUUGCUUUGGUUUUGAAUUAGGGGAAAAUAUAUCCUCGUAUACUUGGAAGUGGCUCCCUCAGUAUCUUUUAUUCUUGAGCUUCAGGGAUAUUCUUCAUUCUAAAUGUGUAUCUCUUUCCUGUGGGUGGGGUAAGGAAUGCUUGAAUGUUCCUGACAAUGUUUUUGUAUAAUUGCAGGAGCAUUUGAUAUUUAUUACAGUUAUAAAUACAUAAGAAAUGAAAUAAACAGCAUUACUCUAAAACAAAAGAGAAUACCUGCUCUCAAAAUAUCUUGAGUAUUUCAAAGAGAAUACCUGCUAAUGCUUAUAUCUGUAUAAUAUUCUUUCACAAAUUUUCUUAUGCAGGUACUUAUAAAUUUAUGCAGAAAUGAAUACAUUUAUAUACUUAUCUACAAAAUAUAAGAUCUCAUUCUACAUUUAGUUUUAUAACCUGCUUGUCUCACUAAAACCAUACCUCAAAGGUCAUUGGUUGUGAGUAAAUAUGAGUCUUUACCACAGAGAUAGUAAAUACUAAUGGCCAAUAAAGACAGAGAAACAAAUAUGGCUACAAUAUGUUAUGUGCCAAGUGCUUUUUAGCUACUGAGUCGUUCAAUUCUCACGGCACCCUUACAAGGUUGAAACUGUUGCUGAUCUCCAUUUUGUAGAUGGAAAACUAAGGAGCAGAUAGAAUAAAAAUUUUACCUGAGACUGCACAGUUAGGGAGUGCGACAGCUUGGAUUUAUGUUCAGUACAUCAUGCUCCAGAGCCUGGGAAACUGUCAAGGCUCUGUUGUUAGGUGAAAGAAGCAACUACACAAGCAUGCAUAUUUUAGGAGCUCAUUAAAAGUAAUACUUCACAGGUUAAUACAUUUACACAAAAAACUGGACCUGGUGACAAAUAGGUGGAUUGCAACCUUGGUAAGAUCAUGUUCAUUGCAAUCCUGGCGACAGAAGCCACAGUGCAGGGGGAAGUGAAGAAUUUUAACAGGAAAUGUAGAAAACUCUCUUUGGUAGUUUAACUUUGAAGGGAAAGAGAUGGAGAUUCUGGCUGAAUGGGGAGAUUUUAAAAAAUAAUCAAUUUCUUGAAACUUGAGAAGGUUUUAAAAUGAAGAUACUUAGGGGUUUUGCUAAAUGAGAAGAUUUUAGCUGUUCUUGCCAUGCACAAAAAAAUGGGUAACUAUGUGGUAUUAUGAAUAUAUUUAUUUUCUUCACUAUAUAGUAACUAAUACUUUACUUUCUGUAUGUAUCUUAGAACAUCAUAUUGCAUAUCUUAAAUAUAGACAAUAAAUGUAUUUUUAAAAGUUAACGUGAUGAAGCUAUCUUAUCUCAGAUUUAACACUAGAAAUUGCUCAUUUUUUUUUUUUGGCUGGAGUACAGUGUUGCGAUCAUGGCUCACUGCAGCUUCAACCUCCUGGGGCUCCUGUGAUCCUCCCAGCUCAGCUUCCCGAGUAGCUGGGACCACAGGUGCAUAUCAACACACCCAGUUAAUUUUUUUUGUUUGUUUAUUUUUGUAGAGACGGGAGUCUCUUUAGGUUGCCCAGGCUGGUCUCGGACUCCUGGGCCCAAGUGAUCCUCCCACCUCGACCUCUUAAUGUGCUGGGAUUAUAGGUGUGAGCCACUUCACCCAGCACAUUUUCUUUCUUACGCUCUUAUUUUCACUUUAGAGCUCAUGAGAGGCCUCUAAUCGACUAGUAUGAGUUUUGAGCUAAAUAUGUAUUUAGUUAUUAGUGAGAAAAUGGACAAUGGGCAAUUGUGAGUCAAAUAAAUGCUAAAUUUUUGCCUCUCCAAGAAGGCAGCAGGUGGCUGAAAUCCUGGUGUGAUAUGGCUGAAUAAUGCAUGAUCUGAGGACCCUGUACUGGUUACUCCUGUACACGUUCACAAUUUUUCUGUAAAUGUAUUAAUAUACUGAGCAGUCCAGGAGCAGCCAUUAGGCAAACACCACUCCUUGCUUCCUUCAUGUGACCUAUCACUGAGCUCACCAGCUGAGGUCAAUUACAUUCUUCCCAACCUGGAGAACAGAAUUUGGGUCUGCUCAGAGGCAUGAUGUGAAACAUGUCUGGGAUAAAAGCUUUGUUCUAUUGACAGCAAACCUUUUUGUGUUAAGGGGUAGGGGAAGAGCAAGUGAAGGAUGCAGAUUAAUUUCUAUUUAGGAAUAUACUUUUAUAUAUUGUUUGAAAUUUUGUCUUUUAAAAAUAUUCAUACAAAUUUAAACAAAAAAUUACUUGUGAACAGAUUGACAAAUGUCAUGUGCACACAUAUUUAUUAAUUUGAAAAAGCAUUCACUGUGUUAAAUUUAUGGUGAAAUAAAGUUGAUUAAACUUUGAAAUAACUGAGUAUGUAUGUGUGUGUGUCCUCU
rnacentral:lncRNA from 1 species